rnacentral:rRNA from 1 species
UACAGAGGUCUCAAGCGUUGUUCGGAAUCACUGGGCGUAAAGGGUGCGUAGGUGGCGUGGUAAGUCAGAUGUGAAAGCCCAGGGCUCAACCUUGGAAUUGCAUCCGAUACUACCAUGCUAGAGAACUGAAGAGGAGAGUAGAAUUCACGGUGUAGCAGUGAAAUGCGUGGAUAUCGUGAGGAAUACCAAAGGCGAAGGCAACUCUCUGGGCAGUUUCUGACACUGAGGCACGAAGGCUAGGGGAGCAAACGGG